rnacentral:rRNA from 1 species
UACGUAGGGUGCAAGCGUUAAUCGGAAUUACUGGGCGUAAAGCGUGCGCAGGCGGUUAUGCCAGGCAGAUGUGAAAUCCCCGGGCUCAACCUGGGAACCGCAUUUGUGACUGCAUGGCUAGAGUACGGUAGAGGGGGAUGGAAUUCCGCGUGUAGCAGUGAAAUGCGUAGAUAUGCGGAGGAACACCGAUGGCGAAGGCAAUCCCCUGGACCUGUACUGACGCUCAUGCACGAAAGCGUGGGGAGCAAACAGG